GCCUCCAUUGCUCGGGGGAUAGAGCACUGUUCCCAUUAGUCAUGGAUAGGGAGUUCGAUCCUCUCUGUAGGCG